rnacentral:rRNA from 1 species
AACUUAAAGGAAUUGACGGGGGCCCGCACAAGCAGCGGAGCGUGUGGUUUAAUUCGAUGAUACGCGAAGAACCUCACCCAGGUUUGACAUGCACGUGGUACUGAUUCGAAAGAUGAGGGACCCUUCGGGGAGCGUGCACAGGUGUUGCACGGCCGUCGUCAGCUCGUGCCGUGAGGUGUUGGGUUAAGUCUCGCAACGAGCGCAACCCCCGUCGCCAGUUGUAUUUUUCUGGCGAGACUGCCGGGAAAUCCCCGGAGGAAGGAGGGGAUGAUGUCAGGUCAGCGUGGCCCUUACGACCAGGGCUACACACACGCUACAAUGGGUGGUACAGAGGGUCGCGAAGCCGCGAGGUGGAGCUAAUCCCACAAAGCCAUCCUCAGUUCGGAUUGCAGGCUGAAACUCGCCUGCAUGAAGCCGGAGUUGCUAGUAACCGCAGGUCAGCACUACUGCGGUGAAUACGUUCCCGGGCCUU